rnacentral:lncRNA from 1 species
AUGGUGCAUGGUAUGCUUAUUUAUUACUACUACCGAUGAGCUAGUAAGAACUAACAAGUAUGUUUAUAAUUUGAAAGAAAACACAGUCAAGAACACAAAGUUAUUCCUCCCGAGAUUGUUACACUUGUUGUCAACAGUAUAACUAUAAAGUUUCAAAGUCUAAAAUCGUACCUGAUCAGUUGUAGAAUAUAGUUGCAGUACUCUGUAGUUGAAUAGAGUUUCUCUUUUCUGGAAAAAAUUUAUUUUAGUGUCUCAGUGGAGAAAAAACACGUUGGUUUCUUCUUUUAAGAUAGAGUUGAGUUUCUUCCUUUUUAUAUAUAUAUUAAAAUUAUACAUACAUAUUGUAUUUUAAGGAUUAAAUAUUGGACAAUCAUCCAAGUCAACAUUAGUUGUAAUAAACAUAUUGUAUGACAUGACAUACCGAUAAUUUGAUUGCUUUCCCUUUCUCGCUUUCUCCUUCACUUUGUCCUCCUCUUUCCAUUAUUGUAACUUUUCCUUUCAAUUUCUCAAGAUCUGAUGUAUAAAAUACACAUAAAACCUAAUCAGGAGAAAGAAUACAAUGAAACUGAAGAAAAGAAGCAUAAAAAAGCCAUAGCAGAAAACAUGAUUGGCUAAGAUCAUGGUUGACUAACCUUUUUUAUUGAUAUUGAAGAUGAAAAAUCUGUGAGAAUGCUUUCGAUCUCCUCUCUGUUGUUGUGUAUGUAUAAUGUAU